UAUCCUGGCUCAGGAUGAACGCUGGCGGCGUGCCUAAUACAUGCAAGUCGAGCGAAUGGAUUGAGAGCUUGCUCUCAAGAAGUUAGCGGCGGACGGGUGAGUAACACGUGGGUAACCUGCCCAUAAGACUGGGAUAACUCCGGGAAACCGGGGCUAAUACCGGAUAACAUUUUGAACUGCAUGGUUCGAAAUUGAAAGGCGGCUUCGGCUGUCACUUAUGGAUGGACCCGCGUCGCAUUAGCUAGUUGGUGAGGUAACGGCUCACCAAGGCAACGAUGCGUAGCCGACCUGAGAGGGUGAUCGGCCACACUGGGACUGAGACACGGCCCAGACUCCUACGGGAGGCAGCAGUAGGGAAUCUUCCGCAAUGGACGAAAGUCUGACGGAGCAACGCCGCGUGAGUGAUGAAGGCUUUCGGGUCGUAAAACUCUGUUGUUAGGGAAGAACAAGUGCUAGUUGAAUAAGCUGGCACCUUGACGGUACCUAACCAGAAAGCCACGGCUAACUACGUGCCAGCAGCCGCGGUAAUACGUAGGUGGCAAGCGUUAUCCGGAAUUAUUGGGCGUAAAGCGCGCGCAGGUGGUUUCUUAAGUCUGAUGUGAAAGCCCACGGCUCAACCGUGGAGGGUCAUUGGAAACUGGGAGACUUGAGUGCAGAAGAGGAAAGUGGAAUUCCAUGUGUAGCGGUGAAAUGCGUAGAGAUAUGGAGGAACACCAGUGGCGAAGGCGACUUUCUGGUCUGUAACUGA
rnacentral:rRNA from 1 species